rnacentral:rRNA from 1 species
GACGAACGCUGGCGGCGUGCCUAAUACAUGCAAGUCGAGCGAAGUUUUUCUGGUGCUUGCACUAGAAAAACUUAGCGGCGAACGGGUGAGUAACACGUAAAGAACCUGCCUCAUAGACUGGGACAACUAUUGGAAACGAUAGCUAAUACCGGAUAACAGCAUUAACUGCAUGGUUGAUGUUUAAAAGUUGGUUUUGCUAACACUAUGAGAUGGCUUUGCGGUGCAUUAGCUAGUUGGUGGGGUAAAGGCCUACCAAGGCGACGAUGCAUAGCCGACCUGAGGGGGGGAUCGGCCACACUGGGACUGAGACACGGCCCAGACUCCUACGGGAGGCAGCAGUAGGGAAUCUUCCGAAAUGGGCGAAAGCCUGACGGAGCAACGCGGGGGGAGUGAAGAAGGAUUUCGGUUCGUAAAGCUCUUUUGUUAGGGAAAAAUGAUUGUGUAGUAACUAUACACAGUAGAGACGGUACCUAACCAAAAAGCCACGGCUAACUAAGG